CAGCAGCCGCGGUAAUACGUAGGGUGCAAGCGUUAAUCGGAAUUACUGGGCGUAAAGCGCACGUAGGCGGCUUUGUAAGUAAGAGGUGAAAGCCUGGUGCUCAACACCAGAACUGCCUUUUAGACUGCAUCGCUUGAAUCAUGGAGAGGUCAGUGGAAUUCCGAGUGUAGAGGUGAAAUUCGUGGAUAUUCGGAAGAACACCAGUGGCGAAGGCGGCUGACUGGACAUGUAUUGACGCUGAGGUGCGAAAGCGUGGGGAGCAAACAGGAUUAGAUACCCCAGUAGUCCCUGUCUCUUAUAC
rnacentral:rRNA from 1 species